rnacentral:tRNA from 1 species
GCCGGGAUGGCGGAAUUGGUAUACGCGCGGGACUCAAAAUCCCGUGGGCGCAAGUCCUUGAGGGUUCGAGUCCCUCUCCCGGCA